rnacentral:rRNA from 1 species
AUGAACGCUAGCGGCAGGCUUAACACAUGCAAGUCGAGGGGCAUCGGGAGUAGCAAUACUUGCCUGCGACCGGCGCAAGGGUGCGUAACGCGUGAGCAACAUGCCCGUAUCAGGGGGGAUAAUCCAUGGAAACGUGGUCUAAUACCCCAUAGUAAUUAUGUAAGGCAUCUUAUAUAAUUUAAAGCUUUGGUGGAUACGGAUUGGCUCGCGUGACAUUAGCUAGAUGGUAAGGUAACGGCUUACCAUGGCUACGAUGUCUAGGGGUUCUGAGAGGAAGGUCCCCCACACUGGAACUGAGACACGGUCCAGACUCCUACGGGAGGCAGCAGUGAGGAAUAUUGGACAAUGGAUGGAAAUCUGAUCCAGCCAUGCCGCGUGCAGGAAGAACCGGCCCUAUGGGUUGUAAACUGCUUUUGUAUGGGAGCAAUGAGGGCUACGCGUAGUCCGAUGAGAGUACCAUACGAAUAAGCACCGGCUAACUCCGUGCCAGCAGCCGC